rnacentral:rRNA from 1 species
CCUACGGGUGGCAGCAGUGGGGAAUUUUGCGCAAUGCUCGUAAGAGUGACGCAGCGACGCCGCGUGAAUGACGAAGGCCUUCGGGUCGUAAAGUUCUUUCGACAGGGAAGAACAUGCACAUAAGUAACUGUGUAUGUAUUGACGGUACCUGUAUAAGCAGCCCCGGCUAACUCCGUGCCAGCAGCCGCGGUAAUACGGAGGGUGCGAGCGUUGUUCGGAGUGAUUGGGCGUAAAGAGCACGUAGGCGGUGUUGUAAGUCAUUAGUCAAAGACUAGAGCUCAACUUUAGUACGGCUAGUGAUACUAGAAAACUAGAGUAAGAGAGAGGAAUGCAGAAUUCCUGGUGUAGCGGUGAAAUGCGUAGAUAUCAGGAAGAAUACC